UAAUACGAGGGGUGCAAGCGUUGCUCGGAAUUAUUGGGCGUAAAGGGUAGGUAGGUGGUCUUGUUUGUCUGUGGUGAAAUCCUUGGGCUUAACCCAAGAAGUGCCAUAGAAACGGCAAGACUCGAGUUCUGGAGAGGGUCGUGGAAUUCCCGGUGUAGCGGUGAAAUGCGUAGAGAUCGGGAGGAACACCAGAGGCGAAGGCGGCGACCUGGACAGAUACUGACACUCAACUACGAAAGCGUGGGUAGCAAACAGGAUUAGAUACCCUGGUAGUCCACGCCGUAAACGAUCGGUACUAGGCUUGAAAGGUCUUGACCCCUUUCGAGCCGGAGCUAACGCGAUAAGUACCGCGCCUGGGAAGUACGGUCGCAAGACUA
rnacentral:rRNA from 1 species